ensembl:miRNA
CCCCGAGAACCGUCCUGGAGCCCCGCCGGAGGAGGUGAAACCUCUGCUACAGAUGUCCAGACACAAUUCUUGGUUCGUACGGCUCCAUCGCACAAGAAUUGCGUUUGGACAAUCAGGAGCGGAGAUUCCCAUCCCGGGCUCGCGGGAUCUUCCAGGGG